AGCGUAGACGGAGUGGCAAGUCUGAUGUGAAAACCCGGGGCUCAACCCCGGGACUGCAUUGGAAACUGUCAUACUUGAGUGCCGGAGGGGUAAGCGGAAUUCCUAGUGUAGCGGUGAAAUGCGUAGAUAUUAGGAGGAACUCCAGUGGCGAAGGCGGCUUACUGGACGGUAACUGACGUUGAGGCUCGAAAGCGUGGGGAGCAAACA
rnacentral:rRNA from 1 species